CCUACGGGUGGCAGCAGUGGGGGAUAUUGCACAAUGGGGGGAACCCUGAUGCAGCGACGCCGCGUGGGUGAAGGAGUGCUUCGGCAUGUAAAGCCCUAUCGGCAGGGAAGAAGCAAGACGGUACCUGACUAAGAAGCCCCGGCUAACUACGUGCCAGCAGCCGCGGUAAGACGUAGGGGGCGAGCGUGAUCCGGAUUCACGGGGGGGAAAGGGAGCGUAGACGGCCAUGCAAGCCAGGGGUGAAAGCCCGGGGCCCAACCCCGGGACUGCCCUUGGAACGGCAUGGCUGGAGUGCGGGAGGGGCAGGCGGAAUUCCUGGUGUAGCGGUGAAAUGCGUAGAUAUCAGGAGGAACACCGGCGGCGAAGGCGGCCUGCUGGACCGCGACUGACGUUGAGGCUCGAAAGCGUGGGGAGCGAACAGGAUUAGAUACCCUUGUAGUC
rnacentral:rRNA from 1 species